CACCGCCUCUUGCUCCAAAUAUAAGAGGUCCAGCCUGCCCAGUGACAUAGUUUAACGGCCGCGGUACCCUAACCGUGCGAAGGUAGCAUAAUCACUUGUUCUUUAAAUAAGGACUCGUAUCAACGGCAUCACGAGGGCUGUACUGUCUCCUUUCUCCAAUCAGUGAAACUGAUCUCCCCGUGAAGAAGCGGAGAUUGACCUAUAAGACGAGAAGACCCCAUGGAGCUUUAAACCCAACACACACCUCUACUCACUCAAAUCAGCAUAACCCAAGAGACUUAUGUGUUGGUUUUAGGUUGGGGGGACCGCGGAGUAAAAUCAAACCUCCAUGACAGACGGACUAACACCCUUAUCCAUGAACCACAAUUCUAAGAGCCAAUAAAUUGUUGUCUAAUGACCCAAUUACUUGAUCAACGAACCAAGUUACCCUGGGGAUAACAGCGCAAUCUACUUCAAGAGCCCCUAUCGACAAGUAGGUUUACGACCUCGAUGUUGGAUCAGGGUAUCCUAGUGGUGCAGCCGCUACUAAAGG
rnacentral:rRNA from 1 species